AGCCCUCCCCCCCCCCCCAAUUAAAUCAUAAACAUUAAUUCUUAUCACAGUAUCAGUGCUCCAUCUAUAGGCCUAACAAAGGGGUGUUGAUAGACUUUUGAUUGGCUGAGCCACCAUCUAUUUGAAAACAAGCGACUUUGAUUGGCUGGAGACAGGAAGUUAUGUUUUGAAAACAAAGGGGGUUUUCAUCAACUGACUUUGAGCUUUAAGGUAUAAUUGAGUAACAUUAAGACUUAUAAUUCUAGUUUAAAAUGUCUUGAAUAACUUUCAGCAUGAAGUAUUGUGUGGUGAAAACAAUGUGUAUGUACUACAAUGUGUAAAUCAACAAUAAGUUUGUUGCAAAGGAGAUUCAAAGUGGAUGGUUAAAGUGAUAUGGUCUCAUAAUUCAUCAACUGCCUGUUAUCUUGGAAUACUGAAGAACAGUUGUUUUAGGUUAAACUCCCAAGGUGAAAUUUACAUUGAUUGGAAGAUUCUUUGGAUAGAAUAUUCCUGCCAAAAGACAGCAGAAGGGGGACUAACUGAUGUAUGGAUUUUGACACCAGAUUUUACCCUGCACGAGCAGCCCAACUUGAGUAGAUCAGGAGUGGGAAAACUGAGCCCUGUCCUUGACCAAGGAAAGUUGGAUUUGUUGAGAGGACCUGAUCUCAAAUGAGAUCAUGCACAAGACGCACCUCGCAAAGGCCAUG